CUAUUUACUAAAUAAAGAAAAGUACGAUUACUGUCGCAAAACUGCCAUCGUCGUGCACCUCUCGGCGUGAAGAAACAAUUCUCUCUCCUAGGGUUUUUUUUCUUUCGAACAAUUUCUCCUCCAAAUUCAUCAAUUUUAACCUUCAAUUUCACCAUGGAUCGUCGAUCAAACUUUCCAUAUUCUCGCAGACCAAAACCCCCAAAAAGUUACGCAGAAGAAGACGACGACGACGAUGAAAACGACGCCGUAUUAGCAGGAAUUGAUGACACAGACGAUGAAGAAGAAGACGACGACGAAAACGACGAAGACUUCAAUGGUCACCGCCGUCGUCGCACACCGACACGUCAUCGUCGGAAACAACGGAAGUUAUCGACUUGGAAUUACCAAUUAAGCCCUAAUUCAUCAAACGCUUCUGAUUGGUCGGAGCAAGGUACAUUUGCGCUUUUAGAAAUUUGGGGAGAGAGAUUUCUUCAAUUAGGGAGGAGUAGUUUGAGGAGUGAGGAUUGGAGUGAUGUUGCAGAGAGAGUUUCGGAGGCGACAAGAAUGAAACGAAGCGUUUCGGAUUGUCGAAACCGGUUGAACGCAUUGAAGAUGAAGUAUAAGAGAGAAAAAACUAAAGUGAUUGGAUUAGGAGGUGGGAUUAGCAAGUGGGUGUAUUUUAAGAAGAUGGAUGUAUUGAUGACAAUGUCACCAAGGCAGCUACAACAGCAAGAGCAAUGUGGGUUGGCUUGUGGGGUUGAUUCGGGCGAGUUCGUGUUUAUGAACCCUCGAGUUUAUUUGGAUCAUUCCAAUGCCUCGGAUGAGAUGAGGGAUAGUCCUGGGAAUUCGGAGUCUGAGGGAGAGGAAGAUGAGGAGGAGGAUGAAGAGGAGGAUGAGGAAGAGGCGGAGCAGUCUUAUAGGAUGUUGUCGGAUUCAAUUAAGAGGGUUGGAGAGAUAUAUGAGAAGAUUGAGGAUAGUAAGAAGCAACAUAUGAUGGAAUUGGAGAAGAUGAGGGUUGAGUAUCAGAGAGAAUUGGAGUUGCAAAAGAAGGAUAUGAUGGAUCGAACCAAGGCUGAGAUUGCGAAAUUAGGAGUAAAGGAUGAUCAUGAUAGUGAUUGCUCUGUUGAAAAUGUGAUGGAUGACCUCAGAAGGACGAAAUUGAUGAGAGCUGCUGUAAGUUCCUCUUCGAAGGGCAGGUUUGAUAGGUACCUUCCGCAGGCUCAAAAGGCUAAAUGUGUAAAGCAGUUGCUUAGAAUCCUUAACUUGUAUUUUCUGGUUUGCGCCUAGGCUUAUGAUCCAUGUUUCUUUUCUCUUUCUAAUUUCUAUGAAUCCUCUUCUUAACAAAAGUGUAACGUUAUUGAAAUUUUUUACAUCAAUAAUUUAUAUAAGCAUACUCGACAGUACCAGUUGACUGCUGUUUGAGAUUUCCAUCUGAUUUCUUCAAAUAUUCAAUAUCAUAUUUGUAUAUUUUUACUAUAAAGAGAUAGAAUUUGAGAAGAAAACUAAAUGUAAGCAAGAAAGGAGACUGCUGUGCUAUUAUAUACUCUUUAUAAGAUCAGAAAUUUUAAGCGAACAUAAAUCAUUAUUAAGACGGGACAUCGGGGAAGAGCUCCCCCUUCAUUGAUGGAGCUAUCCAUUGAAUUUGGAUGUAAGUUAUCUCCCAUAGAUCAUCAUUUUCCUUUGGCACCAGAAUCUCCCUGUCUUUCAUUGCCGCGAUCAUCUUUUUUAAUAAAUCUGGUACUACUUCCUGCAUUCUCGAUGGACCGUGGACACCCAAAUCCGCUUUCAUGCAAGUAUCCAUCCUCCUCAACAACCCUAACCAGAAAGUCCUGAAUCCCGGAUUUUCUGAUAUUGACUUCAAGUAUAGCAAGAAUAUGUCUGUUAAGAAUUCCAUGGCGUUCUUCAGGGUACCCUCCAUGCUCCUCAUCUCUCUCUCUGCAUUCUCUCUCCGCGAGUAAUCCAACAUCUUUUCAUGCAAAUCAUCGACCAUUGCAAAGAUCACAUAGUUAAAGCAAUUGAUGCAGUUAGUUGAUGUUAAGUCGAGUUCCUGUGCUAGUUCAAAGCUUUUUUUGAGACUUGCUACUGCUUGGUUUCUCACCUCUUCACGUCGUGCUAGACUUGUCUUUCUCAAGGCUUCUCCUAGCUUGACAAACAGAUUUAAGGUGAAAUUGCCAUAUUUACCGUCUUCCAAUGAAGAACUGCUUGUCAUGCUUGCAUUGCUCAUACUGCUUUCAUGCUCACAUUGAUCUCUAUACCAUUGAAUCAGCAAAUUGACAGAUUUAGCCAUUAGAUCCAUUAUUAGUAUGUUCUUCUCCACCAGACUGGUUCUCAGGGCAACGAAGCCAAAAGCACAGUCGAUGCAAUAUGUAUAAUUUAUUCGGGACAGGUUUUUCCCGUCGGAUAAUAGCUGAAUUAUUGCCUCAACUGCUUGAUCAUAGUUUUCAGGAAGUCGACCAUUGGCUGACAACAAAUGCAAGAGUGUCUUCCACCCGAUCUGGGUUUGUACAUUGCCUGGGUAUUCGAUCAAAAUUUUGCACACUGUUUGGAUGAUGAUUUCACAGCAGGUAUCAAGAAUUUCCUUGUCAAGUUUCCACAUUAAGUUUAUUGAUCUAAACAUUACUUCUUCAGGAUACUUGUCGGAUUGGUGAGAAGAAAGGAGUUUGACACACAAUUUGAAGAGGAUUAGUGCUGCUUUUUCAGCAAAUGGCACAGGAGAAAAAAGAGGGAACUGAGUAACUUGAAUAAUGUAGUCAUUAUAAGCGGGCCAGAAAGUGGAAAACCUGUCAAUAUUUGCAUAAGCAAUAGCGCCUACUAGAUCCCAGCAGAAAGUGACUGUUUCUUCCUCCUCAACUGCUGUUGUGAAUUUCUGCCCUUUUCCUGCAGCUGCAAAGAUUAGAGAUCUUCCCAGAUUCAACAAUGUUUCUGCAGGUAAAUUAACCGAAUCACUAAAAAUUUUCCCGAUUUUGCAUUGUUGUAUGACUUUCAGGUUCUGCUCAAACUCACUUCCACCAAGAACUAGUGAGUCUUCAUUACUCUCCAAUAACAAGUUUGAAAGCCGACCUGCUGCUAUGGAGUUGUUUCCUCUGCCACUCCCAAAUUUGGAAUCCUCGCUGGUAGAUCUUGAGUGGGACCCACCCUCUGCUGAAACUAAGGUAUCAUAGUCAACCACGGACUGGGGGAGUAGCUUAAGCCUUUUGAGUUUCAACAGACAUUCGAUGAUAUUUCUCCAGGCUCCCCUGAUGGAUCCUCCGAAUUUAUUAGCAACAGUGAAAACGGCUAGGGUUGCCAUUCUCGGCUUUAAGUCAUUAGCAAAUAUAUAUAGUGUCUCCUCUGCAGAUGCAUAUGGAUUUAGCAGGGUGGUAAAUCUGCAGAGUGAAGCUACAAGCUCAUCGAGGAUGUCUUCUAGCCCAUGUCGUGCAAUUCUAGCCACUGAAAUUAUCCCUUCUAUGCACUCAUUGAGGACUUCAUCAUCAUCAGCAUGCUCAAAUAUUGCAGAUAGAGCAGCAACUGUGGGACCCGCAAUACUGCCAAACAUGUCUCUACCUAGUCUAUGAUCAAAGUCACAAGCAAUGAAGGGAGUCGUAUACUUGGAUCGACUUAUCAGAUCAAUCCAACGGCUAGGGUUCAUCUCAACCAAUAAAUUGGCUUGAGCAAAUAUUGCAAUUGCAUUGGUGGCAAUGGAUUGAAAUAACUCUGAUAGAUACUCCCGAGGAAGGUCCUUCCCAUUGUUAAUAGCCCUGUUAUUUCUGAUAAAUUCUUCCUCCGUCAUUUUCUUCUUUACUUGUGGAUUGUGCUGGUCGGUGUUUAACAUGAUGAGAGAGUAGCAAAGGAUAAACACUGCAUCCUUGGUCUCAAAGAGCUCAGAUGAUUGCUGAUUAAAGAAUCUCUCUGAGAAAGCCUCUAGUAUCCUGUGAAUCUUCUGGGAUUCCCCGGGCAGUCUGAAAGUCUCUAAGAAGGUUCUCAAUGCAGUGUCAAGAACUGCACCUGUAAAAUCGAAUAAGCUUGUGAAUACAUUCAGCACUUCGAGGUGAAACUCGUCUGGAUCACCUAGAUAAUCUCCUAUGGCAGUCUUAUCAAGCCCUGGAGUGAACCGAAAGAAAUAAGCAAAAGCUUUUGCAUUUGGUGGAUCUGGAAUUAAGUGGGAAAUUUUAAGGUACUCAAGACCUUUUUUCUCAUCUUGAUUGAAAUGUGUACCAGCAAUCAAUAGUUUCCUCUUUUGUGCUUUCCUCAAUCUUAAAGUAUAUACCCAGUUUUCCAAGUCAUCUUCUUUUCUCACUGGCUCUUCCCAAUAGGGUGAAUACUCUGAUAUCUGAACUGGGAAUGGUUCAAAGGAAACUCCUUCUCUUUCUCCGGCUUUGUUUAGUUUAUCAGCAAUGGCGUGGAUGAUUAUGAUUAAGCCUUCGAAGGCUUGAAGUUGCAAACUUGUUAAAGGGCUAGUCAUAGGAAAUGCCAAUUUGCAGAGCAGCUUACCCAUUUCCUCAAACAUGUUGCAGCACGUGAAAGCACAGUCAUAAUUUACGUAUGUCUCGAUUAGAAAUGUGGGUUGUCUGCAUAGAUUGAUGAUACCUUCAAGUGCAACUUCUUGAUAUUGCAUUGAACUGCCAAAUUUUGCUACUCUGAAUAAAACAAAGGUGUAGCCAAAGAAGCGAGUACUAACCCGCGAAGGAAGUGAUAUGAAUUCAAGACAGUGCUGCAAAUCAUGGACAAAAUGAGGGCACUAGACCGAGUCCCAUAAUGGAUCAAGUGGUGGAAGAGAUCAUCCCUCAUCAUCCUUCGAAGUUUAGGGUGGUUAGCAAAUCCAUCUCCACUCAAUUCCAAUGCUGUGUUAAUCAACACCAAACCCAAGAUCUGAAUAUUUUCAUCAGUACUCUGAGAUACAAUCCCAUCAAUCUCAACAGUCUGAACCACAUUCAACAAAGAACACAAGAACUGAAAAAUAUCCACCACACAUCGGAGACUAAACCCAGAAUUCACAAUCUCAUUUUUAUCAUCCAAUUCCUCUGAAUCCGACUCUGAAUUCUCUCCUUCUUUCACUUGUAUAUCAUUCAAUCUAGAAAACACAGUUUGAGAAAUCUCAAGCAUUACAAAUUUAGCAGUUCUAUGAAGCAAAUUGCCUCGACUUGAUGAUUGUUGAACCACUUGAAAAGCCGUGUUGAUCACUCGACAAACAGAUUCAUCUUUCAGAAGGCAAGAAGCCGGGUGGGUCAUGAUGCCAUUUAGAAGCUGGAGAACCUUCAUUAGAAUCCCUUCUUCUCUCAUCUGAUCCGUUCUUUCGAUCCGACAACUUGUGGAAGCCAUUACUAAAGAAUUCAUGGCUUCUUGAGCUCCUGGAGUUUUCUCGUCGAAAACUUGGAGUUUUAAGAGUUUGAUGAGCGAUGAAAGAGCAAUGCUUGUUGCUGAUGCUGGGACAUCGUCGCUUUGAAUUACAUCUAAGAAUGGGGAGAGGUAAAUUGAAGGAUCUAUGUAUUGCCAUUGUUGUUGAGGAUUGAAAAUUAGUGUUCUUAAGGAUUUUAGAGAUUGUUGCUGGAUUGUUGUGUCAUGGUGAUAAUCUUCUGUGGUGGUUGAAGUUUCAUAUAUGUUUCUUAAUGCUGCUAAAACUGCACCCACUUCUGUGUUAAUGGUGCAUGAAAUACCAAUUUCUUUUCUUAUGUAUCUUGACAUGGAAAUUUUCUUUUCUUUUCA